rnacentral:rRNA from 1 species
UGCCAGACUCCUACGGGAGGCAGCAGUGGGGAAUAUUGCACAAUGGGGGAAACCCUGAUGCAGCGACGCCGCGUGAGCGAUGAAGUAUUUCGGUAUGUAAAGCUCUAUCAGCAGGGAAGAAAAUGACGGUACCUGACUAAGAAGCCCCGGCUAACUACGUGCCAGCAGCCGCGGUAAUACGUAGGGGGCAAGCGUUAUCCGGAUUUACUGGGUGUAAAGGGAGCGUAGACGGCUGUGCAAGCCAGAUGUGAAAGCCCGGGGCUCAACCCCGGGACUGCAUUUGGAACUGUGUGGCUGGAGUGUCGGAGAGGCAGGCGGAAUUCCUAGUGUAGCGGUGAAAUGCGUAGAUAUUAGGAGGAACACCAGUGGCGAAGGCGGCCUGCUGGACGAUGACUGACGUUGAGGCUCGAAAGCGUGGGGAGCAAACAGGAUUAGAUACCCCCGUAA